AUUGAACGCUGGCGGCAGGCCUAACACAUGCAAGUAGAACGAGUGGCGGACGGGUGAGUAAUGGCUGGGAAACUGCCUGAUGGCGGGGGAUAACUACUGGAAACGGUAGCUAAUACCGCAUAACAUCAGAUGUGCCCAGAUGGGAUUAGCUAGUUGGUGGGGUAACGGCUCACCAAGGCGACGAUACCUAGCUGGUCUGAGAGGAUGAACAGCCACACUGGAACGGAGACACGGUCCAUACUCCGCCGGGUGGCAGCAUUGGGGAAGAUUGCACAAUGGGCGCAAGCCUGACGCAGCCAUGCCGCGUGUAUGAAGAGGGCCUUCGGGCUGUAAAGUACGUUCAGCGGGGAGGCGUUACCCGCAGAAGAAGCACCGGCUAACUCCGUGCCAGCAGCCGCGGUAAUUC
rnacentral:rRNA from 1 species